rnacentral:rRNA from 1 species
GUGAGGAAUAUUGCGCAAUGGCCGAAAGGCUGACGCAGCGACGCCGCGUGAAGGAUGAAGUUCGUUAGAAUGUAAACUUCUUUUGUAGGGGAUGAAUGUGCCGCUUUGCGGCAUUGACCGUACCCUGCGAAUAAGGAUCGGCUAACUACGUGCCAGCAGCCGCGGUAAUACGUAGGAUCCGAGCGUUGUCCGGAUUUACUGGGUGUAAAGGGCGUGUAGGUGGGUCUCUAAGUCGGUGGUGAAAUCCCGCAGCUUAACUGCGGAAUUGCCAUUGAUACUGGAGGUCUUGAGUACGGCAGAGGGAAAUGGAAUUCAUGGUGUAGCGGUGAAAUGUGUAGAUAUCAUGAAGAACACCGGUAGCGAAGGCGGUUUCCUGGUCCGUAACUGACACUGAGGCGCGAAAGCGUGGGGAGCAAACAGGAUUAGAAACCCCUGUAGUCC